rnacentral:rRNA from 1 species
AUGCAUCAACCUUGCUCGGUCCAGCUAUCGUCAACGCCACCACGACGCCCAACGGCACCUCUUCCCACCGCGCAAACAUCUGAGGACGUCGCGGUCGCCACUGAUACACCUCAGCACCAUGCUGCCAAGUAUCACCAGCCGACACAGCUUGAAGUACCCUCAUGUUCUUCUUAUUAUGCUGAUGCUGAUGCUGAUGAUCUUCAUACAAGUAACAUUAUAAGCGUGUUAUGGUUUUUCUCAUUUGUUGUUCUUGUGCUGAUCACGUAUGUGCGUGCGUGCAGGCACAAAAGCCGAAGAGCUCAAAGAUUGGAUCGUCUUAGGUGCCAUGUGGGGGGAUGCACUAUUAGCGCUGCUUUCGCGUAUGGCCUGUGUCGGUUGGCGGACGAGAUCAAUCCGGAGAUCAGCCACAAGGCUGCUGCUUGGCUGAGGAAAAACGUAUGGCACACAGAGUAA